rnacentral:rRNA from 1 species
AGCGAACGCUGGCGGCAGGCCUAACACAUGCAAGUCGAACGAACUCUUCGGAGUUAGUGGCGGCCGGGUGAGUAACACGUCGGAACGUGCCUUUUGGUUCGGAAUAACUCAGGGAAACUUGUGCUAAUACCGAAUGUGCCCUUCGGGGGAAAGAUUUAUCGCCCUUAGAGCGGCCCGCGUCUGAUUAGCUAGUUGGUGCGGUAACGGCUCACCAAGGCGACGAUCAGUAGCUGGUCUGAGAGAAUGACCAGCCACACUGGGACUGAGACACGGCCCAGACUCCUACGGGAGGCAGCAGUGGGGAAUCUUGCGAAAUGGGCGAAAGCCUGACGCAGCCAGGCCGCGUGAAUGAUGAAGGUCGUAGGAUUGUAAAAUUCUUUCACCGGGGACGAUAAUGACGGUACCCGGAGAAGAAGCCACGGCUAACUUCGUG